CCCACAGCGUCAUGUUUGCCCUGUGCCAGCGGCCAGCUGGAGUAUAAGCACUGAAGAGCCUUUAAGCGGCUUCUCCAACCUCCAUUCAUAAAUAAGAGCCAAGAAGAGAGGGACACGACCCAAAGGGCAGAGGGACGGCCUAGUUCAAGAGCAUCUGAGAUGAGCCCUUUGCAUUCCCCAAUUUUCAUGGUUAAAACUGCUUGGCCCCACCCCUAAUCGCCCUCAGAGCCUUUAAAGAGAUGUUGACAAGCAAAAUCAGCUGCAGAGAACUGGAAUUAGUUCGUGCUAUGAGCCUAGCAGACAGAAUCCUUAAGAGCCUGGGAAGAGAAGCCAAGUAGAGAUAUUUUCUACUUCCAGUUAAAGCUGCAAGAAAUGCAGCAACAUAAAUCAAGAGGAAAGAAAAAAAAGAAAAAGAAAAGAAAUUUCCAGUCCAUAAGAAAGAAGAGGUUUUCAAAAUUCUUAUUUUUCAAAGAAAUUAUCUCAGUCUCAUUCCACUCAGAUGAAAUAAGUUUUCAUAAUACAGACACUGGCCCACGGU